CUUUACCAUAGACGAAGCAGAGUCCAGCCCGGGGUUCUCACAUGUGGUUGCCGCAAGCCGUUCUCAAGUUCGCCGGCUGUUCCUCACUCAAGCCCCCCAUGUGUGACAUUUUAUGGAGCACUGUUUCCUGACCUGCAGAGUAACCUACAAUGGGUCUGUGCUCAAAGGCUGUUUUAUAAAAUGGAGCAAUUCCAACUUUGCAAGGACAAUAUGGUGCUUAUGACUCAUAGCCUAUAUUCAUGAGUCCGACACCACUUCAUUGUCUGGCUAUUCUGAGACUCUGUCUCAAUUCUGGACAAAGAGGACAAUGGGAUAGACACCUGUUACCAGUCUAUGAGCAUAACAGAUACAUCAUCCUGCUGCAAUGAGUGCCUAUGGACACACUCAUCACCCAAUGUCCUUGGAAGGCCCCUGUAGAGUUCUUAGAGGGGGGUCUGAACAGAUGGUCCCUGCUGA